UGCGCAGGCGGUCUUGUAAGACAGAUGUGAAAUCCCCGGGCUUAACCUGGGAACUGCAUUUGUGACUGCAAGGCUGGAGUACGGCAGAGGGGGAUGGAAUUCCGCGUGUAGCAGUGAAAUGCGUAGAUAUGCGGAGGAACACCGAUGGCGAAGGCAAUCCCCUGGGCCUGUACUGACGCUCAUGCACGAAAGCGUGGGGAGCAAACCAGGAUUAGAUACCCUGGUAGUCCACGCCCUAAACGAUGUCAACUCGGUUGUUGGGUCUUCACUGACUCAGUACGAAGCUAACGCGUGAAGUUGACCGCCUGGGGAGUACGGCCGCAAGGUUGAA
rnacentral:rRNA from 1 species